AAGUCGUAACAAGGUUUCCGUAGGUGAACCUGCGGAAGGAUCAUUAACACGUAUCCAACGUUAAAACCCCCCCGUGAACCUUCAGUGUGCUCGUACGCUUUGUUAGAAAGUAGCAAUCCCUGGUAAAUCAUCGCCGAACAGUUUUGAUUCAGGGACUUCUGCGAAGAGUGUGCUUGUAGCGCGAGGCAAGUGGCCUGGCAUCCUUGUCUGAAAGUGUCAAGGGUGGCGCAGUCACGAUCACUAGAGCGACCGGGUCACCGGGCUCACCCCUUAAUAACCUUUGCAUGAAACGGGCCUGCGCUUAAUUGUGCGGCCAUAAACCGAACAACUGUUAACAAUGGAUAUCUUGGUUCUC
rnacentral:misc_RNA from 1 species